rnacentral:lncRNA from 1 species
AGUUUAUGUACACAAAAGUAUUCUUACUUUACCCCAAAAGAAAGAAGCCCUGAUACCAAACUAACGUGUCUCUGGCAGCUAUCAGUGGUAAGGAUCUGAAAGAAAAAGUAAAUGAACGGAUAUGAGCUACACGGCUCAGUAAGUAAUCAUACAUAAUCUUACCGGAUCGAACAUAACGGUAACCAUGUUUAUACAGGGUUUGAGAAGCUGACAUGCAUAUUUAUCUAAUCAUCAUCAUGGCAUAAUAUGUAUGCAAUUUAAAGGAGAUAGCGGUUAUAGCAAAAUACAACAUUUCAUAAGGAUAUAUUCAAAAAAACCCGUUGUAAAACAAUGUAUGCUUUGGCCAAGCACGUUCAUAAAUGUCACGGCCCGCCUGCGCAGGGCACGUGACUAUCGGGCCCACAUGAGGGGGAAACACGGGGCUCCCCUGCCAGAUGUUGGCCGGUUCCGGGGCUUCACGCAAGCGUCCUUCACCCCUCACCGAUUAUGCUUCUCCCCAAAAACACAUUUGCAGGAUUUGGAAGCA